rnacentral:rRNA from 1 species
GACGAACGCUGGCGGCGUGCUUAACACAUGCAAGUCGAACGGAAAGGCCCUGCUUUUGUGGGGUGCUCGAGUGGCGAACGGGUGAGUAACACGUGAGUAACCUGCCCUUGACUUUGGGAUAACUUCAGGAAACUGGGGCUAAUACCGGAUAGGAGCUCCUGCUGCAUGGUGGGGGUUGGAAAGUUUCGGCGGUUGGGGAUGGACUCGCGGCUUAUCAGCUUGUUGGUGGGGUAGUGGCUUACCAAGGCUUUGACGGGUAGCCGGCCUGAGAGGGUGACCGGCCACAUUGGGACUGAGAUACGGCCCAGACUCCUACGGGAGGCAGCAGUGGGGAAUAUUGCACAAUGGGCGGAAGCCUGAUGCAGAAACGCCGCGUGCGGGAUGACGGCCUUCGGGUUGUAAACCGCUUUCGCCUGUGACGAAGCGUGAGUGACGGAAAUGGGUAAAGAAGCACCGGCUAACUACGU